rnacentral:rRNA from 1 species
GACGAACGCUGGCGGCGUGCUUAACACAUGCAAGUCGAACGGAAAGGCCCUGCUUUUGUGGGGUGCUCGAGUGGCGAACGGGUGAGUAACACGUGAGUAACCUGCCCUUGACUUUGGGAUAACUUCAGGCAACUGGGGCUAAUCCCGGAUAGGAGCUCCUGCUGCAUGGUGGGGGUUGGAAAGUUUCGGCGGUUGGGGAUGGACUCGCGGCUUAUCAGCUUGUUGGUGGGGUAGUGGCUUACCAAGGCUUUGACGGGUAGCCGGCCUGAGAGGGUGACCGGCCACAUUGGGACUGAGAUACGGCACAGACUCCUACGGGAGGCAGCAGUGGGGAAUAUUGCACAAUGGGCGGAAGCCUGAUGCAGCAACGCCGCGUGCGGGAUGACGGCCUUCGGGUUGUAAACCGCUUUCGCCUGUGACGAAGCGUGAGUGACGGUAAUGGGUAAAGAAGCACCGGCUAACUACGUG